UACGUAGGGUGCAAGCGUUGUCCGGAAUUAUUGGGCGUAAAGAGCUCGUAGGCGGUUUGUCGCGUCUGCUGUGAAAACUCGGGGCUUAACCCCGGGCCUGCAGUGGGUACGGGCAGACUAGAGUGCGGUAGGGGAGACUGGAAUUCCUGGUGUAGCGGUGAAAUUCGUAGAUAUCGGGAGGAACACCAGUGGCGAAGGCGGCGAUCUGGGUCGAUACUGACGCUGAGGUGCGAAAGCGUGGGGAGCAAACAGG
rnacentral:rRNA from 1 species